UGUAAAAGAGAUCAUUAGGAAAGAAAAAAACAAAAAGGACAAUUAAAACAUCUCAAGAAGAACCCAACUAUUGAAAGAGACUGCUUAUCAAAGGAAUGAUAAGACACGGAGAUAAACCCUUGUAAAUAGCCAGUCUAAAUUACUCCCACAUUCACACGGAACUUUUUUUUUUUGCAGACAUCUUCUUUGCCAAUUUUACAAAAAAAAAAAAAAAAAUCUCAUACUGCUUACUGUUUUGAAGAGCUAAAACAUAUUACCAAUGAAAAUAUAUUGGUGGGUUCUAAGCAAUCAGUUUUGAAUAAUGUUAUUGUCUUUAGAACUAAACUGAAAAAAAAAAAGCUGAAAUAAUCAAUAUUAGAGAAAUCUAAAACUAUUUAUAUUAGAGACUAUUUUAAAGUUGCACACAUUAAAUAAUUAAGAACUAGCUAUGCUAUAAAACCUGUCCUCUUUCUCUGGGUAAAUUCAUUUUAUUUUAGAUGGUAAGCUGAUAAGGCUGACUACUACUAUAUAAAUUCCACUCAAAACCUGACAUGUCCUUCCAAACCCCAAAUAUCUUCACUUUGUACACAAACACAUGGAACAAAUAAAUGCUUCUGUAAGACACUCACUAUCGCUUAUAUGCCUCACUUUUCUAGCAUGGUUAAGCUUAUCACGAAUCCUGAAGAUGCAAAAUAAUGAAGCAAAGAAGAUGAAAAAACCAGCAAUGAUUAGGAACUCUCCCAGACUGAGAAACCCUCAAGGACAGAAGCUGUCAGCUGAGCCUUUGUGGUCCUUCCUGAACCCCAUUCAACUCUGGGCCAGGAGCCUUCAGUCCACGUUUGAUGGAUGACACUUUCCAUGGCACCAGAAGUGCCUAAAGUUUAAACUACGGAAGGAGCAGUGCAUUACAUUUACAGGUGGGUCCCUGGUGGAAUCACUCACCCACUGACUUUUCCAAACACUUCUACCACCAUCCCUGUCUAACCAGAACCAAUGUCCAUAUGGCCACGUGCUCAGAGGACUCUUUCAGGUGCAGACCUGGAGUAUAAUGUUUUAUGCAAACAUUACUUGCUUCUGUUCAUGGUAUCUCAAAGCCACUGUUCUGAGAAAUGGAAACUGUCCAAAGCUCUUCUGCAGAGCCAUGGAGUGGAAUGCAAACUUUUCAUGUUCAUUAUGCCUCUCCCCUUCCCAGCGCCCCUUUCCUGCCCCAGACCACAAUGCAGGAGGUCGGGAGGGAUGGAGUCAAAAAUCUGUCCUUGUACAAGAAACUAGCAUGACUCUGGUGAAGUUGGUUCACACCUUGAAAAAUGCUCUCCAGGUAACAUUAUAACGAAAAGAAUGAUAAAUCCACUCCAGUAGGAGAUCUCCAAAAACAGCCAAUCCCAUAGUUUUUAAAUACAGUUAGAAACAUUUUUUUUGCUGCCGAAGUCUGCAGAACCUGAAAGAUGCCAGUGUCUGCUAGGACUCUCCAAGAACCCCAUCAACUUCUGCUGAGCAGAACUGCCCAGACACUGGCCUGAGAAAUAGUGAAAGGACCGUAACAAGAAUUCUACAAAACCAACAUUUCCUGUGCCAUAUGUUAGCUUCGAUUCUUCAAGCAGUUAAAGAUCUAAGUCUGAUUUAAGGGUUAAAGAUAAGUACACUGGGCAAAUAGUUAAGUAUUUAAUCAUUACUCUUUAGGUAGCAAUUUAGAAGUCUACUUCUUAAAACUCCUAUAUAUUAGUAUAAAUUUGAAUUUUUCACCUGUAUGUAAAUUCAAGAAAACAGUAAAACUACUCAAUGUAACUAGGCAAAAUAAAUAAAUAACCCUACAAAAUGUGAGGGUUAUUUUAUUUUGGUUAGUACUGUUACAUCAAUAAAUAAACUUCACUAAACAAGGGUACUAUAGGACCAAGAAAAAUGUCUUAUUUUAAUAGCCUCAUUUAGCCUUAGUCACUGUUGAUGGAUGACCGAAGCACCCUUGAAAUUAGGCAGAGACAGGAAUUUUCCCCUUUAUUCCAUUUCUAUAAUACUAAACAAACAAACAAACAAACAAACAAAAAACCCUUUAUAUUCUCUAUCUUCUUCAGUAUCUUCUAUUUCACCUGUAUCUUUCCAUACUGGUCCAUUACCUUGACUAAAAAAAUAGUAUCUGUGUAAUUUUCUGUAAUUUUUUUCUCCCCCGUAGCUUAUUGUCACUUUGAUCUCAUCUUUCAAGACAUCAACUUCUCUCUAAAAGAAACAUAAAUGGCUGAUCAAAGUGUAUUAGCAAAGGCCAAGCUCAGGUAGGUGAAGCAGUAGCCUCUUCAGAGUAGCCUCUUCAGAUAUUAUAUCUGACAAUACAAUAUUUGGCUUAAAAUUAAAUUGCUGCUGGAGCAAAACAAAGGAUAUAUCUUACAUGAAGCUUUGAUGUCUAACAGGGAUCAAAUGACAAGAUUUGUUAGCACAAAAUAAUAAGAUGCAUGUGCAGACAAGUAGUUUUUUGACAUCAUAAACAAUAUUCAACUUAGGAGUUAAGUAGGACCACAGGUGUUUUUUUGGGAAAACACACACACACACACACACACACACACACACACACACAAAAGAAACAAAACAAACAAACAAAACAAACUUCUCAUACUUAAAAAUCUUUAAAAUGAUAAAUGUUGUUACAAUGAAAUGAAAAUAUAAUGGAGUAUCCAAGAACCAUACUCAAAAGCUAUAUUCAGAGAUGAAACCUCUCCAGACAUUAUAUUUUAUGAAAGAAAAUUGGUUGAUUAAUGGAAUCCAGAAGGUUCAAAAUAUAAUUAUAAACAAUUAGAAUCAGAAUAGUUUUACCCCAGGAUCCCCAAGUCCCCCUGAAAUAUCUGUUUCUGCAGCUUUUCCCUAUCACUGGAACCUAGUCAAAUUUUUAACACGUUCGCUGCAUGCAAAGAGCAGGAUUAAUUUAAUAAGGCAUAUCAGAGCAAAAUAUGGGCAUUAUAAUAUUUUAUUUUCUUAUAAGAAAUAUUAUAGGUUUGUUUUUUUGUUUUUGCAACAAAAUUUUUAUUAUUUCUGCCAAGAGCUAACAAUAAUUUUUGCAUUUAAAGUGACCUUAAAAAAAGGUUCUUUGUAAAAAGCAGAAUAUGUGAAAUUGACUUACAUGUGGUCCAAAUAACAUGACAGAUUUCAAACUUGCAAAAUUUACCUGAACAGUUAUAUUUAGCUUGAAUAACAAGUAUGAAAACAUGUGUUGCUUUCAUGAAAUUCAAAGUUUAGAUGGCUGCCUAACUUUGUGAAUUCAUGUCCUGUAAACUUAAAAUCUAGUAUAAAUUUUAUUUCAGGGUUUACUUUAUAUUCUAUUUAUUGUAGAAAUGUUAAUUUAUCUUGGUUUUACAUACGAAAAUGCUUUUUUGUGUCUUUCAUGAUUAGCUUAACCUAUUUUCUUGAGUUUUCUUACCAGCCUUAAGGUGUUUUGUUUUUUUUUUUUAGUUUCUUUUUAAUUUAUUUAUUAUAUAGUACAAUUAGAAUCAGAAUAGUUUGGUUUAUUGGGUUGUUGGGAUUUUUUUCCUCUGUAAAAAUGUAAAAUUCUUCAUGAAUUUCACAAUUCUAUUGAGUCUUUUACAGUAUCAUUUUUUUGUGUGAAAAGUUAUUUUAAAAAUAUUAAAUUGUCUUGCCUUGUUCCUAUGAUGUUGUUUUAAAUAUAAAAAUUACAUCUUUUAAUGUUUUUCAAGAAUAUAUUUAAAAGACUAAAAUAAAAUAGAUAAAACCCCACAAAGCUUAAAUUUAAAAUCAUAUUAAAUAGGAGCAUGGCUCUUACGAGAAUUUUACAGGGAAAUCAGUUCAUACACAAGCAAACCAAACCAGACUAACAGAGAGGGCAUCCUCCACGGACGUUACUGUGAGGUUUAGGAGCUGACAUGCGUUUACAGAAGUGAGGUUUCCGGUGCUGUUGUUUCAAACCUCCAAACCUGAAGACACAGACACUCCCAUAUACAAAUUCCCUCCGUUUUGAUUAAAAGCUAAAAUGUACCUGCUGUUUUUCUCUCCUCUGUUGUGGAAAACAGAGUGAAAACAGUCAUACAACAAACCCACAUUUCUUUAUUGUUUAAUGCAUUCUGAUGUCACUUGGGCAAAGAUGUCAAAAGCUAGUGAGCGCUGAUUAUUUUCCCAUCUCCCUCGCCACUUUUUUUUUAACUCUAAAACAGGCCAGAUUUCUCAAAAAUGUGUUCACUGGUUUGAAACCAUGUAUGUCAAGUUUCAGCCCAGAGCAAAUUUUUAUGGCUGAGUAAUAAAUCCCUACAACUCAAGGUUCAUAAUGGAAGUGCUGACACAGCCCUAACUACCAUGCAGCCAUGUGAAUGGCGCCACGAUUAUAUCUGCUAGAGAUUCUCUCAAAAGUUUGCAAAGUACUGUCUUGCUUUGGAAAAAAAAAAAAAUGCCAUUGAUGCCAUCAUAAGCAUGCUUUUAACCCAUUAUGUGCUAAUUUGCAGAAAAGCCAUUAACAGAG